GGCAGCUUUGCCAAAGUCCCGGAGUUGGCGAGUUGGGCGCUAACUGGUGCGGGCGGAGCGGGGGUGCGCGUGGGCGCGCCGGGAGCGCCGGGACGCGCGGGGUCCCCCCACCCGCUCCCAGAGCCUGUCGGCGAGCUCUGCUCCGGGUCCCCCCGAGAGUUUGCGCGCGGCCCGCGGAGGGGGGAGGGCGGCUCGGGGGUGCGGCCGCCCACCCCCUCGGCUCCGCUCGGAGGACCAACUUUGCUCCGGGGACUCGGUCGUCCCAGGCGGGCAAUGGAGCCGCAGCCGCGCUCCCCGCGCACGGCUCUGCGGCGGGGCCCCAGCUGCCUUCCCCUCGGGUCCGGCCGCUGGCGGUGGCUGUGCACGCUCUCUCUCAACUGUCGCGUGCUGCGCGCUCCUGCCCCCCGUCCGCUGUCCGUGCCGGGCGGCCGGGGGGACCCGAGCCUCUCUGCAGGGGCCCUCCUCGCGCCAGCCCAGUCUCCGUGCAGUUGGAACGGCCUCCAGGCCGUGUGACAGAGCCAGAGACCCUGACUGAAUAGAGUGGAGAAGCUUCCUGAGAAGCUGAGAGCAGCACCAGCAUAGAGGAGAGUGGAGCCCAGAAAUCACCCAGUGACCCAAGCCAGCCCCUGAUGUCAUCGUCACCGCCACUCCAGCUCACCUCCCACAUUCAAACAAUUACCUAAUAAUGCUGAUUUUAUUACCUAAUAAAUUUUAAAUGCAUCCCUUCCCCUCCA
rnacentral:lncRNA from 1 species